UGGGGAAUCUUGGGCAAUGGGGGAAACCCUGACCCAGCGACGCCGCGUGGGGGAUGAAGGCCUUCGGGUUGUAAACCCCUGUUAGGUGGGACGAAUAUCCUUUCACGAAUAGUGGGGGGAUUUGACGGUACCACCAGAGUAAGCCCCGGCUAACUCCGUGCCAGCAGCCGCGGUAAUACGGAGGGGGCGAGUGUUGUUCGGAAUUACUGGGCGUAAAGGGCGCGCAGGCGGUUUGGCAAGUCGAGUGUGAAAUACCUCAGCUUAACUGAGGACUGGCGCUCGAAACUACCUCGCUAGAGGGCGGGAGAGGGAAGUGGAACUCUCGGUGUAGGGGUGAAAUCUGUAGAUAUCGAGAGGAACACCGGUGGCGAAGGCGGCUUCCUGGCCCGUACCUGACGCUGAGGCGCGAAAGCGUGGGGAGCAAACAG
rnacentral:rRNA from 1 species